rnacentral:rRNA from 1 species
AGGAAAGUCGCCGCAAGCUCCCGCUCUAGGAUGGGAAAGCGCCCCAUAAGCUACAUUCGGGUGUAGAGUUCCUCACAUAUCAACGCAGUACAUCGUUCCAGAGUCAGUUCAGCCACACUCUAGCUUAGACACGUCACCGAGUCUUGAGGGAGGCUCCUCUGUGGAGUUUUGGGCAAUCACAGAACACUUUCCGGAGCGCCUCCGAGCUUGGUAAGAACACCUAUUCGUAAUAAAACAUGGUCAGUGUGAAAGAGGGGGGUUGGUGGCAAACACAUAGGCAUUCGUUGGUACCAGGAGAGGAAGCCCCGGCCCACUGUUUGCCAGCAGCCGCGGUAAGACAGAGGGGGCCAGCGUUGCUCCGAAUUACUGGGCGUAAAGGGGGCGUAGGCGGGAUGGUAAGUUGGUCGUGAAAUCCCUCGGCUCAACCUAGGAACAGCGAUCGAUACCAGCGAUCUUGAGCAUGGCAGAGGAGACCGGAAUUCCCGGUGCAGCGGUGAAAUGUGUAGAGAUCGGGAGGAACACCGGUGGCGAAGGCGGCUUUAUGGGCAAAUCCUGACGUCGAGGCGCGAAAUCCUGGGGAGCAAACGGGAUUACAUACCCCGGUAGUCCACACCGGCAACGAUGAGCGCUAGGUGUGGGGGGGUUCAGUCCCUCCCGUGCCGCAGCUAACGCAUUAAGCGUUCCGCCUGGGGAGUACGGUCGCAAGGCUGAAACUCAAAUGAAAUGACG